rnacentral:rRNA from 1 species
UACGGGGGGGGCAAGCGUUAUUCGGAAUUACUGGGCGUAAAGCGCGCGUAGGCGGCCUGCUCAGUCGCAUGUUUAAUGUCAGGGCUCAACCCUGGCGCUGCAUGCGAUACUGGUAGGCUAGAGUCCCGGAGAGGAAGGUGGAAUUCCAAGUGUAGCGGUGAAAUGCGUAGAUAUUUGGAGGAACACCAGUGGCGAAGGCGGCCUUCUGGACGGGUACUGACGCUCAGGCGCGAAAGCCAGGGGAUCAAACGGG